CGUAUCUUUAAUGUCAAAACGACUCUCGGCAACGGAUAUCUCGGCUCUCGCAUCGAUGAAGAACGUAGCGAAAUGCGAUACUUGGUGUGAAUUGCAGAAUCCCGUGAACCAUCGAGUCUUUGAACGCAAGUUGCGCCCGAAGCCUUCGGGCCGAGGGCACGCCUGCCUGGGCGUCACGC
rnacentral:rRNA from 1 species